rnacentral:rRNA from 1 species
AUUGAACGCUGGCGGCAGGCCUAACACAUGCAAGUCGAGCGGAUGAAGGGAGCUUGCUCCUGGAUUCAGCGGCGGACGGGUGAGUAAUGCCUAGGAAUCUGCCUGGUAGUGGGGGAUAACGUCCGGAAACGGGCGCUAAUACCGCAUACGUCCUGAGGGAGAAAGUGGGGGUUCUUCGGACCUCACGCUUUAGGAUGAGCCUAGGUCGGAUUAGCUAGUUGGUGGGGUAAAGGCCUACCAAGGCGACGAUCCGUAACUGGUCUGAGAGGAUGAUCAGUCACACUGGAACUGAGACACGGUCCAGACUCCUACGGGAGGCAGCAGUGGGGAAUAUUGGACAAUGGGCGAAAGCCUGAUCCAGCCAUGCCGCGUGUGUGAAGAAGGUCUUCGGAUUGUAAAGCACUUUAAGUUGGGAGGAAGGGCAGUAAGUUAAUACCUUGCUGUUUUGACGUUACCAACAGAAUAAGCACCGGCUAACUUCGUG